UACGUAGGGUGCAAGCGUUGUCCGGAAUUAUUGGGCGUAAAGAGCUUGUAGGCGGUUUGUCGCGUCUGCUGUGAAAACUCGAGGCUUAACCUCGAGAUGUCGGUGGAAACCAUCUGGCUAGAGUCCGGAAGAGGAGAGUGGAAUUCCUGGUGUAGCGGUGAAAUGCGCAGAUAUCAGGAGGAACACCAAUGGCGAAGGCAGCUCGCUGGAACGGUACUGACGCUGGAGGCGACGAAAGCGUGGGGAGCGAACAGG
rnacentral:rRNA from 1 species